ACCGAAAUGGGUUAUGUGUUCAAAUCUGUUACAACAAAUUCCCAAAAAUUACUCAAAUCAAUUAAAAAACAAGAAAUCAAAAGAUCAUCAUCAACCAGAAAAAAAGAUCAUCUAGCGGCGGCUUUUUUGUCGCCGGAGUAAUAACUCAAAUACCAUCUGACAAACUUCUUCAAACCGGUUUGCAAAUCCGUAGUCGGUUUAUAACCAAGCUCACGUUGAGCUAAACUAAUAUUAGCAUGAGUAAACGGAACGUCACCGUUUCGUGGCAUCUUAAUCAAAUUCUUCUUCGCCUUCACUUUCAAUUGUCUCUCCAAUAUCCUCACCAGAUCUGAAACCGGCACCGGCGACGUGUUUCCGAGGUUAAACACUCUCAAUUGCGCCGGACCUCUCUUCUUCCCUCCACUCCCUGUACUCUUCUCCGCCGUAUCUAGCGCCGCUAAACAUCCCUUCACUAUAUCGUCUAUGUAAGUGAAAUCCCUAGCCACCGUUCCGUGAUUCGCCGAUUCGAAUAUCGAAAUCGAUUUGCCUUUUAGAAUAUCUUUAGUGAAGAAGAAAUACGCCAUGUCUGGUCUUCCCCAAGGUCCAUACACGGUGAAAAAUCUUAAUCCGGUUAGAGAUAAUCCAUAGAUGUGGUUGUAGGUAUGUGCGAUCUCUUCGCCGGCUUUUUUAGUGGCGGCGUAUAAACUCGCCGGUUGAUCUGUUUUAUCUUUCUCCGAGAACGGAACUUUGGUGUUGAGUCCGUAGACGGAGCUAGACGAAGCCCAGACUAUAGCAGGUUGUGGAUUCACAGAUUUGCAGAUCUCGAGGAGAUUGACGAAUCCGGCGAUGUUGCUAUGAACGUACGAGCUAGGGUUUUCCAUUGCGUACCGUACACCAGCUUGAGCUGCUAAAUGCAUAACGUGUGUGAAGGAGACGAUCUUGAAUAGCUUACGGAGUAAUUCGACGUCGUUUAUGUCUCCUUCUACGAUGAAGAUCCCACUUCUCUCGAGUAAAGCUCGUCUUGCUCGUUUCAGAGAUGGAUCGUAGUAAUCGUUGAAGUUGUCGAGGCCGAUUACGCCGUCUCCGCGGCGUUUUAAUGCGGCGGAGACGUGUGUUCCGACGAAACCAGCUGCUCCGGUUACUAAAACUGUGAUUCCGUUGUUUGUUGAGGUUCGGAUUCGAGCUGAGGAUCUGAGACGUUUUUCCCAAGCUGGUCCUCCGUAGGUGUUGGUUCGGAGUGAACGGCGAGAUGGAUCGGACGGUGAAGAAGGGUUAAUGGACGGUGGAGAUCGGAGGAAGAGUAGAGAGAUGAGACAGAGGAGGAAGAAGGAGAAAAAUGCAAACUUUGUGAGAGAAGAUUGGAAUCUGAGACGAUGCAAGUAGGAAGAUUUCUCCAUCUUGAAUUUGCCUGGGCUUGAAGGUAUGUCGUCAAGACGUGACAUUUUCUCUUCUUCUUCUUCUUCUUUGGACUCUCUUCCUUUAUUAGUUUUAAUGGCAGCUUCUUAGAAUCUUCAGGUUUCUUGGAGGGGAUUAAAUUAAAACACAAAGGUUUCUUUAUUAUGACUCCAACAUGAGAAACACGAAUAUUAUCUUUUUAAUAAAAUAUAUUCGAGGAUCAAAGUUUGGUUUAUAAUAGGGUAUAUGAUAAAGAGAGUGUUGUGAUUUUUUAAAUUAGAACAUGGGGAUUGAAGAUUUUAGAGAUCCAAAUCAUAGGGAAAAUAUGAAGAAGAAGAAGAAGAAGAAGAAGAAGAAGAAGAAGAAGAAGAAGAAGAAGAGAGUCAAAAAAAUUACUGUAAAAAUUUGUUGACUCUUCUAAAGAUUUGUUGUCGAGUCUUGAAAUUUGAUUGGUGAGAUACUAAUACUCCAAGAUUUUCGGGAAGCCACUCGUCCCAAAAGUUUUGAAUUUGAACCAAAGUUUUAAACUUUUGUUAAUAGAUUUGUUUUGCGGAUAGUUGCUAAAUACAAAAAUGGACUCUAAAUUUGAAUAGAGGUUGUUGUCUUGUUG